CACAGCAGUGUGUUUCCCAGUAAAGAAAAUAGGAUGCGGCCGUGCGCAGUGACUUACACCUGUAAUCCCAGCACUUUGGGAGGCCGAGGCGGGUGGAUCACCUGAGCUUCACGGAGCUACCUGAGUCAGCGCCUGCAUCUCCACCACCAUCAUCAUCGUCACUGUCUUCAUCGCCUCUGGGCUGGACCAGCCCCUGCCUGUGAGCUCCCUGGAGCCAGAGGUGCAAAGUCUGCAAUGACACAAAAAGCCAGCACGCUGGGAGGGGCUCUGGAGACCAUCUCAUUGUUCAUUCAUUUGUCUAUUCAAUCCAUUUUAUUGACUGCUCACUGUGUGCCAGACACAUGGGCCCUGGAGAUACAGAAGAAACACGUGAGGUCCCUGCCCUCCAGGAAUUAAGAAGAUAAAGUCAAAAGUGCUGUAAAGAACAACAGGAUGAUGGGCCAGUAUUUGAAGAGGUCGUUUUCAGAUGGGGUGGGCAGGGAAGGCAUGUCUGAGAAAGGAAUCUUUGUGGACACCUUAAUGCUUAGGACAUGGGGCUGAGAAAAGCAGGCAGAGGAAUUUCAGAUAACGCCUCAGUUGGUAAAAAGCUAGGGGGAUGGUGCAGGCAAGGAAUAGAAGGAAGGACAGUGUGGUGGGAGUUUGGUGGUGAGUGAAAGAGGGGCCUGGGGACCGUGCACACUUGAAGGCUGUAGCCGGGCAUCUGGCUUGGAUUUUGAGGACUGAGGGGACCAUUACAGGGCUUUAGGCAUGGGGAUGGCACGAUCCAAUUUACAUUUUUCAUGUCAUUCCAUCUGCUUCCUGGAGAACACAUGAUAGGAAGAAGGAACGUGGAAGCAGGGAGACCAGUGAGGUGGUAACUCCAGAAACAAAGAGGUGGCGGCUGAUGGGGCGAGUGGGAGGAGCCUGACCCUGGUGGAUUUUGGAGGCACAGAAGGCAAACCUGCUGGGGGAUUGUCUGUGGGGGACAGGGAGAGCAAAGACUGGGUGCCUUCCUCUUCCUGCCUUCCUCUUCCCGCUUUGCACCCCUUCUGGCCUGAAUCAUCUCCCUCAGGUAACUAAGAGGAGGGGGCAAAGGACUCCAGACUAUGUAGCCAGAUAUAGCCCCAGGUCCCCAGGGCUAUAUCUUGGGUCUGUGCAGAAACUAGGGACGUGGGGGCCAGAGGUAUUUUUAGCCUUCUAGCUCUCUCCUUCUGUCUUCUGCAAUCCCUCUCCCUACCCCCUUCCCCCUUCUUCUCUCCUUCUCCCUUCCCUCUCCAGCUCCUUCCCCCACCUCCUGCUCCUCUUUCUCUCUCUCUCACACACACAUACACACACACACACACAUACACACACACACACACACACACACACACACACGAAGCAGCCUUAUCAGGAGGAAGCCUCCAGCAGAGACAAGCGGUCUCCAGGGACAGAGCAGAGGAGCUGACAGGAGUUUCCGGAGCAGGGGGAGGCUGACUUCCCUGCCUUCCCCAUUCCUUCCAGCUCCCACUGCCUCUCGCUUCCUGCAGCAUUUCUCUCCAGACGCGCGCUUCUCAACUGGAGGCCACUUUGUCUUCCUGGGACAUUUGGCAAUAUCUGGAAACAUUGUUGGUUGUCAUAACUGAGGAGGGGGCAGGGUUGGCAUGGAGUGGGUAGAGACCAGAGAUGCACAGGACAGCCCCCAUAACAAAGAAUGAUCGGCGCCAACAGUGCUGAGAGCCCUCCCUAGGCUCUGCCGGCAGAGCUGGAAGGGACUGUCCUCUUCCUUGUGGUCCCACUAUCACCACACUGGCCACACUGUCCCUGCAUUAUCUCUAUUGGUCUUCUCAGCCACACUGUGAGGUACAUAGUAUUAUUCACCCAAGGUCAUGCAGGCAGUAAGAGGCAGAGCUGGGAUUAAGACUGUGAAGCCUGUGGUUUAACUGGUCUCUCUCUACUGAAGGGGUUGUCACAGCCUGUGUCAUUGUUAUUAGCAAUGGGACACGCUGUCUCAAGUGAAGUCUUAUUCAGAAGUCCAAUGUAAGUCCACUGUGUAAGACAGAGAGCGUAGAACUGCCUAGGGUGAAGCAGUGUGGGAGGUUAUGAACCCCCUGGGCCCACCCCUCUUCCCACCUUAUGGAGCCUCCAAAAGCCAUCUGUCUAGCCGGGCAGGGCCCCUGUGGAGGGCUGCACAGGUUGUGCACUGCAAAACUCUAGGAGAGGCCACUCCCAUGGGCUUCUUCGUGGGGCCUGUUGAGGUAAGGCAGAGCUCCUUUAGGGAAGGGUGGCAAAUGGGAUUUCUCCCAUUGCAGACAUGUGUUGCUUAGCAGACAAGGUGUCACGGUAGCCUAAUAAGGUCUGGAGUAGGAAAGCGGGAUGAGAGUGGCUGAGUGGCCAGCAUCUGCCUUCCUGGUCCUAAAAUAUGGAGAAUAGAAAAUAGAAUUGGAGGCCAGGCGCGGUGGCUCACGCCUGUAAUCCCAGCACUUUGGGAGGUCGAGGUGGGCAGAUCACCAGGUCAGGAGAUCAAGACCAUCCUGGCUAACACGGUGAAACCCCGUCUGUACUAAAAAUACAAAACAAUUAGCCGGGCGUGGCGGCAUGUGCCUGUUGUCCCAGCUACUCAGGAGGCUGAGGCAGGAGAAUGGCGUGAACCCGGGAGGCAGAGCUGGCAGUGAGCCGAGAUCGUGCCACUGCACUCCAGCCUGGGUAACAGAGCAAGACUCCAUCUGGGAGUGGUGCCCUCGGGUCCCAAGAGGGCUGCAGACUGCAGGCCUCCCUGAAGUGAAGAUGCAGCAAAGUGGAAGACAGCACACGGAAACCAUGCAGCAGCUCCCUCUGGGGAAGAGAAAGAGGGAGCCACGUUGCUCUAUACCCUGUGGACUUCUUGCAAUAUGAACCUUCAUGGACCUAAGAAAAAUAAUAAUAAAGGAAA
rnacentral:lncRNA from 1 species